ensembl:lncRNA
ACUCGAUGAGCGUACAGCGCGUGACGGUGAUGAUCGACUGUGCAUUGUGUGCGUUUCGGUGUGAGGACACUUUAGUUCGGCCAGGUGACGGUGAUGAUCGACUGUGCGUAGGGUGCGUUUCGGUGUGAGGACACUUUAGUUCGGCCAGGUGACGGUGAUGAUCGACUGUGCGUAGGGUGCGUUUCGGUGUGAGGUCACUUUCGUUCGGCCAGGUGACGGUGGCUUUGCCAGGACCAGAGGGAGUGCUGCCGUACAGACCAAUCCGUUUCAGAGGGGAACGGGGCACACAGUCAGACAGGGAGCAGUGAGACAGGGGGAGAGGGGACAGAGUGCUGAUGGGAGGGCGGUGCGGUGGGGCUGGGCCGGGGUGGCGUGCGUGCGAGGCAGUGGAUUGAUGAUGGUGUUCCGGGCAGGGGGGUUAGGGGUGUAUUGUUCUGUCACUUUGCCUGUGUCAGCAGGUGGAAGCGCUCAUCAGGACAUUAAAUAUGCAACAAUGCUGACUGCGGCACCGUGCUGAGACAGCCAAAGCCAGCCGUCAGGGAGGCCCACUAAACCAGCAACGCCCGCUGCCCCACGCACUACAGCCUCCCGGCAGGCUGCCCGGCAGACUGGCAGUCCAACCAAAGAGCAUGUGUGUGGGCCUUCACUCAGGGCCGGCGAGGGCAGUUAAGUGCUGUGUAACACUGACCAUUAGGAAAUACACUAGUGACUGCAAAACGUGAGUUAAUGUUAUAUACAGGUCAAAGCAUAGUGUAAUGUGGUGUAUUUGUUUCACACCAAAACGGGACAAACUUGGUGGUUGUAUAACUGACCAUUAUAAUGAGGAAAGGGGUGUAUAUAAGUUGCAGGAAGAAAGUCAUCAUGAAGUGAGCUGGAGGCCGGCUUCUUCUUAUCUGGGAGAUUUUUCGAGCAGUGUGUUGGACCAGGCUGGGCUUUGCUUGGACAGGCUGGGCUGUACUGUGCUGUACAAGGCUGUAGCCAGGCUGUGCUAGGCUGCGCUGGGCCAGGCUGUGUUAGGCUGCGCUGGGCCAGGCUGUGUUGGGUUAUGCUAGGCCAGGCUGUGCUUACAGAUAUUACGUGCCAGAGUUUAGAGCAAGCCUAGCAGC